ACUCCUACGGGAGGCAGCAGUGGGGAAUUUUGGACAAUGGGCGAAAGCCUGAUCCAGCCAUGCCGCGUGCAGGAUGAAGGCCUUCGGGUUGUAAACUGCUUUUGUACGGAACGAAACGGCCUUUUCUAAUAAAGAGGGCUAAUGACGGUACCGUAAGAAUAAGCACCGGCUAACUACGUGCCAGCAGCCGCGGUAAUACGUAGGGUGCAAGCGUUAAUCGGAAUUACUGGGCGUAAAGCGUGCGCAGGCGGUUAUGUAAGACAGUUGUGAAAUCCCCGGGCUCAACCUGGGAACUGCAUCUGUGACUGCAUAGCUAGAGUACGGUAGAGGUGGAUGGAAUUCCGCGUGUAGCAGUGAAAUGCGUAGAUAUGCGGAGGAACACCGAUGGCGAAGGCAAUCCCCUGGACCUGUACUGACGCUCAUGCACGAAAGCGUGGGGAGCAAACAGGAUUAGAAACCCUUGUAGUCCAUG
rnacentral:rRNA from 1 species